rnacentral:tRNA from 1 species
GGAGUUGUGGCUCAGUGGUAGAGUGCUUACCCAUCAUGUGUGAGGCACUGGGUUUGAUUCUCAGCACCA